CGGGGUGUAGCUCAGCCUGGUGAGAGCGCUGCGUUCGGGACGCAGAGGUCGCUGGUUCAAAUCCAGUCACCCCGA
rnacentral:tRNA from 1 species